UGCUGGGCUUGGAGAAAACUGCAGUGACCCUCUGCAGGCAACUGCUGUCAUCUGUCUUGGAAUAGAGGUGUUUAUGCGUAAUUAUUAAUACCAGAAAGAUACCAAACCUGUGGUUCUUAGUCUCACCAAAGUCCUCCAGUGCUGCUAACAUCUAUUAGAACAAGGCUGAGUGCCUUUCAGAGCAUCUCUGCUGACCCUUCUGCAUUUCUACUCACAUCUUUCCAAAAUGGAUCCACUUCAUGGAGUGAAAUUAUAUUGUCUUCAAGGCCUGACCCUAAGAAAUGCUAAACUUCUACAUUCAAUGUAUAGAACUGAAAAGAAUCUUGUUUGCAAGGUAUGCUAGCUGUGGAAGAGAGGAGAAAGAUGUCUCUUCAGAGCUGAA